UAUUCAGCUAGCUAGCUGUUCUCUAGACAGGGAGAUAUGAGCUAUUCAGCUAGCUAGCUGUUCUCUAGACAGGGAGAUAUGAGCUAUUCAGCUAGCUAGCUGUUCUCUAGACAGGGAGAUAUGAGCUAUUCAGCUAGCUAGCUGUUCUCUAGACAGGGAGAUAUGAGCUAUUCAGGUAGCAAUCUGUUCUCUAGACAGGGAGAUAUGAGCUAUUCAGCUAGCUAGCUGUUCUCUACAGGGAGAUAUGAGAUAUUCAGCUAGCUAGCUGUCCUCUACAGGGAGAUAUGAGAUAUUCAGCUAGCUGAUAUUCUGAACAUGAAGAGACCCUCCCCUGCUUUACAGUCCUAAAAGUCUUAUAGACCUGGAGCACUGAGAUGCAUCCAAUCAGGGCAAUGAGUUCCUGUCUCUGUCCCAAAUGGAACCCUAGUCCCUUGAUGGUGAACUACUCUUGACCAUGGCCUAUAGUGCUCUGGUCCAAUAGGGCUCUGCUCCAUUUGUAGUUCACUAUAUAGGGAAUAGGGUGCCAUUUGGGACACAACCUCACAGUCCGACCUGGAG
rnacentral:lncRNA from 1 species